rnacentral:rRNA from 1 species
CCUACGGGAGGCAGCAGUGAGGAAUAUUGGUCAAUGGGCGAGAGCCUGAACCAGCCAAGUCGCGUGAGGGAGUACUGCCCUAUGGGUUGUAAACCUCUUUUGUCGGGGAGCAAAGGCCGGACGUGUCCGGCUGUGAGAGUACCCGAAGAAAAAGCAUCGGCUAACUCCGUGCCAGCAGCCGCGGUAAUACGGAGGAUGCGAGCGUUAUCCGGAUUUAUUGGGUUUAAAGGGUGCGCAGGCGGAUUUUUAAGUCAGCGGUAAAAUCGUGGGGCUCAACCCCAUCCAGCCGUUGAAACUGGGGAUCUAGAGUGUGCGAGAGGUAUGCGGAAUGCGUGGUGUAGCGGUGAAAUGCAUAGAUAUCACGCAGAACCCCGAUUGCGAAGGCAGCAUACCGGUGCACAACUGACGCUCAGGCACGAAAGCGUGGGUAUCGAACAGGAUUAGAUACCCCAGUAGUC